ACCGCCGUAUGCAUCUAUACAUUUCUGUGAGUUACUUUGUGUGUGCUGUCUCUCUCACACACUCACUCAGGCUGUGUAAGCCUCAUCUGGCACGACAUAAACACAUUAUC